rnacentral:lncRNA from 1 species
AAAUACUUCAUCCAAAUUGCUGUACAAGUUGCAUCACUUGGAAAGAGCUUUGACAUUUUUUAUCAUAACUCCACCUCAGGAAAUGACAUCAACAAGGUGCAACUGAACAAUUUUCAAUGAUUUUUGCAGAAUAGUGUUAAGAAGUGUACAGGAAACUUUAUGAACCAUAUAUCAUCUCACAUAAUCAACUGAACAAUGCUCAUAAACUUGUGCACUGUUGUUCUCAUAAUGAUCCACGGUGUGGAAAGUGUGAGCUUAAAUCAAACUCAAAAGGUCUUGGUGAAGCAAAAAGGUAAAAGUGUGUCCUUUACAUGUGAGGUAAAAGGUUUGGCCUCUGGUGGUUUUGUCCACUGGUACCAUAAAAAAGAUGGUGAAACAUUUAAAAGAAUACUGUACAUAAGCGAAUCCGGGACUGCUACAACUGAAGCAACAGGAUUUACUGCUGAAAAAAAAGGAAAAUCAUAUGGCAUAAAACUCAAUACAAUAAGAGACGAACAGGCUGGGAUGUAUUACUGUGCGAGCUGGGAAGGCAGCCACAGUGAGACAACACUUUGACAUCUUUUACAAAAACCAAGAGAGACUGUUACUCCACAACAGGAGUAUAAACCACAUUUAUUAUUAACUCGUCUGAAAAGAACCACAAAGUGGUUUUGUGUAGCAAAUAUGUUUGCAGAUAACAUCAUAAGGUUAGAAUGGGAGUUACUUUAUGAAAUGUGGUAAUGCCAAAGGCAAGCAGUUAUGUAUAGCCUAACAAAUAUGGCUAAAUACUUAAUUACGCUCCUUAACUCUUUCCCUGCCACCGUUUUUGAAAAAAAGUUGGCAGCCAUCGCCAGCUAGCAUUUUUGAUGAUUUUCACUAAAAUUUCAUGGCCCCAGAAUAUUUUGUUUUAAUAGCUGAACAUGCAAUACAUCAAAAUAACGAACAGAGCCUCUACUAAAUAAAUAAAAACCUUCAAACAUUUUUUUUUUUCAUAUCAACACUUGAAUGUAGGUAAGAUUUUUUUUUUUGGAUGAUCAAAGCAAAGAUGCAGUAGAUCGCUUCCAUCAACACCAAAGAUUGCACAGUCCUUUGUCACUUCCUGGAUCGACAUUUCACUCAUUAUGCAGUUUUCAUUUAGGCCUAUAUGCUAUUUAUUGUUGAUGACCGCAUUGUUUUUCAUAUGCAUACGCAUAUAUACAAGAUCGCUCACGUUUGACUUUUAUUACUAAUAUUUUUAU